rnacentral:rRNA from 1 species
AAGAAAGUUACUAAGGGCGUAUGGUGGAUGCCUAGGCUCUCAGAGGCGACGAAGGACGUGACAAGCUGCGAUAAGCUUUGGGGAGGCGCAAAUAGCCAUUGAUCCGAAGAUUUCCGAAUGGGGCAACCCGGAAGUGUGAAGCACUUUCACCCGCUUAUGGCGGGGGCUAACCCGGUGAACUGAAACAUCUAAGUAACCGGAGGAAAAGAAAACAAAAGUGAUUCCCUAAGUAGAGGCGAUCGAACGGGGAACAGCCCAAACCGGGUGUGUUUAGGCACAUGCGGGGUUGUAGGACUGCAAUGUGGACUCUAAAUUUGAAGUGGAAUAUUUUGGAAAGUUUAACCAAAGAGGGUGAUAGUCCCGUACACGAAAGAAUUUAGUACCUAGCAGUAUCCUGAGUACCGCGGGACACGUGAAAUCCUGUGGGAAUCUGGCUGGACCAUCAGCCAAGGCUAAAUACUACUGAGAGACCGAUAGUGAACUAGUACCGUGAGGGAAAGGUGAAAAGCACCCUAAACAAGGGAGUGAAACAGUACCUGAAACCGUACGCCUACAAGCGGUCGGAGCAUCUUAAGAUGUGACGGCGUGCCUUUUGCAUAAUGAGCCUACGAGUUACUCCUCUCUGGCAAGCUUAAAUAGUUAAGCUAUGGAAGCGAAGCGAAAGCGAGUCUGAAUAGGGCGUUAAGUCAGAGGGGGUAGACGCGAAACUUUGUGAUCUACCCAUGGCCAGGUUGAAGCGGAGGUAAGACUUCGUGGAGGACCGAACCAGUUGACGUUGAAAAGUCUUUGGAUGAGCUGUGGGUAGGGGUGAAAGGCCAAUCAAACUGAGAAAUAGCUCGUACUCCCCGAAAUGCAUUUAGGUGCAGCCUCGAGUAUGAGUCUGAUAGAGGUAGAGCUACUGAUAAGGCUAGAGGGCUUCACCGCCUAUCAACCCUUGAUAAACUCCGAAUGCUAUCAGAUCCUCCUCGGGAGUGAGGCUAUGGGUGCUAAGGUCCGUAGCCGAGAGGGAAAGAACCCGGACCAUCAGCUAAGGUCCCUAAAUAUAUGCUAAGUUGUAUAAACGUGGUCUGACUGCAGAGACAGCUAGGAUGUUGGCUUGGAAGCAGCCAUUCAUUUAAAGAGUGCGUAACAGCUCACUAGUCGAGCGGUUGGGCGUGGAUGAUAAUCGGGCAUCAAGCAUAUUACCGAAGCUAUGGGAUAUUUAUAUCGGUAGGGGAGCAUUCCAGUGGCGUAGAAGCUGUAUCGUAAGGUAUGGUGGAGCAGCUGGAAAAGAAAAUGUAGGCAUAAGUAACGAUAAUGCGGGCGAGAAACCCGCACGCCAAUAGACUAAGGUUUCCUGAUCAACGCUAAUCGGAUCAGGGUUAGUCGGGGCCUAAGGCGAACCCGAAGGGGGUAGUCGAUGGACAACUGGUUAAUAUUCCAGUACUGGCAAUAACUGCGAUGGGGUGACGAAAAAGUGACAGGCUCGCGUACUGACGGAAUAGUACGUUAAAGGGUGUAGGUAAAUGGACUGUAGGCAAAUCCGCAGACCAUGCUGAACCUGAUAGUACCGUGCGUCUUCGGACAAGCGGAUAGUAGCCGUAAUCUUGUUUCCAAGAAAACCCUCUAAGCUUCAGGUUAUUGCUACCCGUACCACAAACCGACACAGGUAGUCAAGUAGAAAAUACUAAGGCGCUCGAGUGAUUCAUGGCUAAGGAACUAGGCAAAAUGGUCCUGUAACUUCGGGAGAAAGGACGCCACUUUCGGGUGGCCGCAGUGAAAUGGCCCAAGCGACUGUUUACCAAAAACACAAGGCUUUGCUAAUUCGAAAGAAGAUGUAUAAGGCCUGACACCUGCCCGGUGCUGGAAGGUUAAGAGGGGAGCUUAUCUUCGGAGAAGGCUUGAAUCGAAGCCCCAGUAAACGGCGGCCGUAACUAUAACGGUCCUAAGGUAGCGAAAUUCCUUGUCGGGUAAGUUCCGACCUGCACGAAUGGUCGUAACGAUUUGGGCUCGACUGUCUCAGCCAUGAGCUCGGUGAAAUUGUAGUUCCGGUGAAGAU